AAAAUCCAAUGGAAGUGGGUCUGAUCUUCAGAUGCCACGACCAAACUGGCCUCUACGGCCUUUAACCUUUUGUGAACUGUUGGUGGCAGCAAUGCCGCCGAAAUCUUUAACAUUGAUCUCUAAUGUCUUAUUCUUAAGAGUAAUCUUAA
rnacentral:misc_RNA from 1 species